ACUGCAGAAUAGCAGAGUACCAUGCACUGCAAUCCCGGGGUUUCAACAAGGUAUAGGCUAGGGGUAUUAUGAAUUCUCACUGAAUCCAUGUCACUGCUAAGUCCAGGGAGCAAAAACAAGAUGAUACGACUCAAAGAAACACCUUGGAUCUCAAGACAUUCAGAAUUCCCAAGAGAGCUAUUUUUUCCUGACCCAGCCUCUCCAUUUCUUUAUGAGACAAGGAGUUUUUAUGGUGGUAUCUUUUAUUGGACCAACUGAAUAGCUGGGGUGAAGUGAGACAAGCUUUCGAAUGCAAAAGCAAUCUUGUUCACAGGGGAGGGAAAAGCAAGCUUGGAGGAAGUUUGCUUUCGUCCUCCUCAGACUUGAACAUGAACGCUUUGCUCUUCACUCUAACAUUGCCUAUUUAUUUAAAACUGGAGAGUGCUUUUAGAUGGCUAAGUUUUGUGGGUGACCAGUGAUCUCAAAGCAGCAUUACGCUCGGGAAGUGCUGAGCACUUCCCUUUUUUCUUUUUCUUUUUCCAUGGGGUCUGGACUAGCAGCAGCAUUUGCAAAAGGUCAGGUGUCUUUAAGGACCUAAUACAGGGUUUUUCAGUGUCUGGGACUAGUAAUAUCAAAACCACUUCAGAGAGAGUAAAAAGCUAGAAACCAUCGUAAAAGCAGCUGUGAUUGAUGGCACAACAGAAUUGGCUCUCCUACCUGAACUAUCCUAAAGUAAGCCUUUCUUCUCAGCAUAGUUUUGCUGAGGCCAGCUACGCCUCUGUACCAGGUAU